rnacentral:misc_RNA from 1 species
GCGGCGCGUUCCUGCUCAUGCGCCACGUCAUCCCCGCCAUGCGCGCGAACGGAUCCGGACGCAUCGUGCUGAUCGGCUCGAUCAACGGCUCGCGCGGAAAGUUCGGGACGUCGGCGUAUGCGGCCAGCAAGGCCGGCCUGCUCGGCCUGGCGAAGAGCGUCAGCCGCGAGACCGGCCGCCUCGGCAUUCUCGUCAACGUCGUCGAGCCGGGCUGGGUGCGCACGCCGCUCACCGAGACCUAUCCCGAGCCCGUGCGGCAACAGGCACUCGCGGAGACGCUCCUCGGCGAGCUCGUCGAGCCCGAGGACGUCGCCGCGACGGUGGUGUUUCUGUGCGGGCCGGGCUCGCGGCGCAUGACCGGCCAAGUCCUCCGCGUCGAUGCGGGACAGUACCUAUGAGAACCGGUUGGCGGUUGACGGUUGGCGGUUGGCGGGAGCGGAUUCCCGCCGACUGCCUACUGCCAACUACCAACUGAAUGAGGAGACAAGAUGUCCAUCAUCGAAGAAUCGGCAACUGAGAUCGCAACCAUCCGUCUCAUGCGCGACAGCGACAUCGACGCCGUGGUGCGCAUCGACGCCGCGGCCACGGGUCGCGCCAGGCCGCGCUACUUCGAGCUGAUGCUCCAGCGCGCACUUCAGUUCGCGGGACUCCAGAUCUCGCUCGUCGCGGAGGUCGACGGUCGCGUGGCCGGCUACCUCAUCGGCUCCCUCUACUACGGCGAAUACGGCAUGACCGAGCCGACCGCAUCCAUCGACGCCAUCGGCGUCGAGCCCGGCCUGCGCCGCACCCACAUCGCCCGCGAGCUCUUCGCCCAGCUCCGCCGCAACGUCGGCGCCAUCGGUGCAACGUCGAUCCGCACCGAGGUGGACUGGAGCCGCUUCGAGCUCCUGGCGUUCCUGAGGAGCGAAGGGUUCGAGCCGGCGCCGCGGCUGUGUUUGGAGAGGAAGGUGGAUCCGACGGAGUGAGGCAGUCGAAAGUCACGCGCGUUCGCGCCACGCGAGGUAAUCGCCAGACUUGAUUUCGCGGUGUCCCGCGGGCCACGUAUUGAGGAGGUAUGCCCACGCCGGAAGAAUCGCGCCGCUGGCCAGGCGCGCAUUGACCAGCUCCCGACGAUACUCCUGUGGUUGCGGAUCGUUGGGCGAGCACCCUUCAUAUUCGUCCAACUGAGCGAUGACGUGAUCCCAGUCGGCAUCCUCAACCUCGUACAGCUCGCCAACGACUCGGCUCGAGUCACCCGAAGAGACCAUCCCCGGAUAUUCACCAAGAUCGUACAAGCGACCCGAUACGCUCGCGUCGCCAACGAAGCGACCGUACUUCGCGAGCAGAUGAAACAUCUCGUGCGAUGGAUCGCGUCUGAGCGUUCCGUACACGAAAAGCCGCGUCGAGCGUUCUCCUGUCAUUUCUUCUUGCUUUCUCCACGCGUCAAAAGCAACGCAUCGAGCUCUUCAAAUCCGUUCCCACGAAUGUAGGUUCGGACGAAGUCAUGCUUGCACAAAAGCCGCAGGUAGUAGUCGAACAUCAUCGAGAUUUCCUCAGCCUUCAGCUGGCCAAGUGCACGUUCAAGCUUGUUCCGCGAGGUUUGGCAUGUCAUCCCGAGCGUGAGUCGAGGGACCUGGGCGGGUGGGGCCACGAGGCGCAUGCCGGCCGCACCGCCCACCCAGGUCCCUCGACUCACGCUCGGGAUGACAGACCUUGACCACCUGCUUUCAAGUUUGAACGCGCACUAGCUUAUGGCGCGUGGCGACAAACUCGAAGAAGUUCAGAUAGUCAUCUCGAGGCUCCCAUGACCCUCCACAAUCGAUGCAUCCGUUCGAACACUGAACGCGUGGGCGCGUUGAGCACUCACCCCAUCACCCCCACCCGUGACGUUCCCCACCGCAUUCUGUGAGCACUCCUCUCACCAUUCGUUGCAUCCGCCAUGGCUG